ensembl:lncRNA
UAAACGUCUUGCCGUUCUCCUUCCUGUUGGUAUCUUUCUCCUGGCUGUCGUUGGAUUUUGUCUGAAGAAACGCGUAAAGAUCCGGCAAUGCGUGGGGAAGCUGAAAGGGCAGAAACGAGGAGUGGACCGUUCAAGCCACGUUGAACUUCAGUCUUUGGAGAAUUCAACAAUGAAAUACGACACGAACAAGGCUUCUUGAGAAAUGAAAGAACCUCGAGCCAUUUGCCCGGUUACGGAAAUUGAAGCAAAGGAAGGUGAUGAUGUCAUCCUCCCGUUUUAUGUGGUCCCCCCUGUCAACCUGUCUGCGUUCACCGUGGACUGGUCAAGAA